UGGUGUUGAGCUACUGCUUGGCCCCUGACACCAGUCUUGGAAGCUGGCUUCAUUUCACCAUCUGCCACAAGGGGGUGCUUGAUACAGGCUGGAAGACUGGGGGAGCCCCAUUCUUCCAGGUCUGUUAAAAGCCUGGGGAAAUUUCAGAUUCCGGAGAAGUGGCUUGGAUAUCGCUACCACCAACACAUCCAGAUUGUUGAAAGUAAUAGGCAACAGUCACAUUUCAGGAUCCAGACAGAUUUUCAGAAGCAGGGCAACCCCUUCUUGUGUAGCAGUUGGGUCUGGCUCUGAGGAGGAAGAAAUCAUGGAUCUUCUGGAAAGAACAUGGUCUUUGGACUUCACUCACUUGUAAAGAGUUUGGGACCUUGGUCAAGCUACAUAAGCUUUUGUGUCUUCUCUGUUUCCUUCUCUCUAACUGGUUAGCCUUUAUUUUAGGUGCUUCAUGGGGUUCAGAGUUGCAUAACACAAAGAAACUGCCCCCAGAAAUCUCAGUGAAGACUUUGAUUCAGGAUUUCUUAUCUUCUCAAUAAAAUAUAUGCAUGAUAUGUUAAAAUGAAAUCAUAUAGCAUUAAAAGGAGAUGUACAGAUUAGAGACUAGCAGAACCAAGAAUAGUAAACACAUGCAUCAUAGUGUGUGUAUUUAUUUGAUAUCUGCAUAGAGAUAACCUGUAACAUUGAAGGAAGAUAGAAAGAUGUGGACUUUCCUCAGUUUCUGCCCCUGACCUAAAAUCACAGGAUGUACAUCCCAACAAACAGAAGUAUUUCCUGUAUACUGCUUAGGCUUUGCUACACGAGAUAUCCCAUCUUCUGGACUAGUCCAUGGCAUUCACCUCUCAUUAAAUCAGAGUGUCUUCCACUGGAAAGGACCAUGUAGGUUAGUGAUGCCACACUGAUUUUUUGAAGAGUGGUUAUGUGGAAUCCCCAGAGGAAAAGUACAGCAGGGGAGGACCAGACAAGAAAAACACCAUGGCAAAUGACCCUGGAUGAAUGCUUCAUGGGUGUUCGGGGAAGAGCCAAGGCUCAGGUUGCCCUUCUCCUUCAGAACCAAGUGGACAAUUCCAUCAAGAUCCAUGAAAACCAUGGCUGGAAAUAAGGACAAUAAAUGGACUGGAAAUCAUCUGUGAUUCUCCUCUUUGUUAUGACUGACACAUCACAUCAAUAAACUAG